UGGCGGACGGGUGAGUAACGCGUGGAAAACCUGCCGUAUACUGGGGGAUAACACUUAGAAAUAGGUGCUAAUACCGGAUAAGCGCACAGCUUCGCAUGAAGCGGUGUGAAAAACUCUGGUGGUAUACGAUGGUUCCGCGUCUGAUUAGCUAGUUGGUGGGGUAAUGGCCUACCAAGGCAACGAUCAGUAGCCGGCCUGAGAGGGUGAACGGCCACAUUGGGACUGAGACACGGCCCAAACUCCUACGGGAGGCAGCAG
rnacentral:rRNA from 1 species